CAGUAGCCGCGGGAAUACGGAGGGUGCAAGCGUUAAUCGGAAUUACUGGGCGUAAAGCGCACGCAGGCGGUCUGUCAAGUCAGAUGUGAAAUCCCCGGGCUUAACCUGGGAACUGCAUUUGAAACUGGCAGGCUGGAGUCUUGUAGAGGGGGGUAGAAUUCCAGGUGUAGCGGUGAAAUGCGUAGAGAUCUGGAGGAAUACCGGUGGCGAAGGCGGCCAUCUGGGACAACACUGACGCUGAGGCACGAAAGCGUGGGGAGCAAACAGGAUUAGAUACCCCAGUAGUCCCUGUCUCUUAUAC
rnacentral:rRNA from 1 species